CCCUUAGAUGUUCUGGACCGCACGCGCGCUACACUGAUGCAUUCAACGAGUAAUCUUUGACCUUGGUCGACAGAUCUGGGUAAUCUUUUGAAAUUGCAUCGUGAUGGGGCUUGCGGGUUGCAAUUACCCGCACCAACGAGGAAUUCCUAGUAAACGCAAGUCAUCAACUUGCAUUGAUUACGUCCCUGCCCUUUGUACACACCGCCCGUCGCUCCUACCGAUUGAGCGGUCCGGUGAAGACUCAGGAGAUGGGCGCGUGCUUGGUUCGCCAACUGCGCUGCCUGCCAAAUUUGUCUAAACCUUAUCGCUUAGAGGAAGGAGAAGUCGUAACA
rnacentral:rRNA from 1 species